rnacentral:misc_RNA from 1 species
CAGCAGCAGCAACUCCAAAUGUUCUGGUCUUACCAGCGUCAGGAGAUCGAGCAGGUAAAUGAUUUCAAGAACCACCAGCUUCCUCUCGCCCGCAUCAAGAAGAUCAUGAAGGCUGAUGAAGAUGUUCGCAUGAUCUCCGCCGAGGCUCCCAUUCUGUUUGCUAAGGCGUGUGAGCUCUUCAUUUUGGAGCUUACUAUACGGUC